GAAAUGCGAUAAGUAAUGUGAAUUGCAGAAUUCAGUGAAUCAUCGAAUCUUUGAACGCACCUUGCGCCCCUGGUUUCGCUGGGGGCAUGCCUGUUUGAGUGUCGUGAAAUUCUCAACUCGAGCUUUCUUUUCUUGAGAGUCUCGGGAUUGGACUUGGAGGUGUUGCUGGUCUAUGAUCAGCUCCUCUUGAAUGCAUGAGUGGGGGGCUGAUCCUCAUCCCUUGGUGUGAUAAUUGUCUACGCCAUAAGAUUUGGAACACAUGAACCUGCUUCUAACUGUCUCCUUGUUGAGACAAUAACUUAUGAAACUUGACCUCGAAUCAGGUAGGAUUACCCGCUGAACUUAA
rnacentral:misc_RNA from 1 species